rnacentral:rRNA from 1 species
UUCCAGCACCCCGAGUGGUCGGGACGUUUAUUGGGCCUAAAGCAUCCGUAGCCGGUUCUACAAGUCUUCCGUUAAAUCCACCUGCUUAACAGAUGGGCUGCGGAAGAUACUAUAGAGCUAGGAGGCGGGAGAGGCAAGCGGUACUCGAUGGGUAGGGGUAAAAUCCGUUGAUCCAUUGAAGACCACCAGUGGCGAAGGCGGCUUGCCAGAACGCGCUCGACGGUGAGGGAUGAAAGCUGGGGGAGCAAACCGG